rnacentral:rRNA from 1 species
AUUGAACGCUGGCGGCAGGCCUAACACAUGCAAGUCGAACGAGUGGCGGACGGGUGAGUAAUGUCUGGGAAACUGCCUGAUGGAGGGGGAUAACCACUGGACACGGUCGCUAAUACCGCAUACCAUCGGAUGUGCACAGAUGGGCUUAGCUAGUAGGUGGGAGAAAGGCUCCCCUAGGCGACGAUCCCUAGCUGGUCUGAGAGGAUGACCAGCCACACUGGAACUGAGACACGGUCCAGACUCCUACGGGAGGAAGCAGUGGGGAAUAUUGGACAAUGGGCGCAAGCCUGAUGCAGCCAUGCCGCGUGUGUGAAGAAGGCCUUCGGGUUGUAAAGUACUUUCAGCGGGGAGGCGUUACCAACAGAAUAAGCACCGGCUAACUACGUGCCAGCCGCCGCGGUAAUAC